ACGCUCGACACCUACUGGAGGCAGCAGUCGGGAAUAUUGCGCAAUGGAGGAAACUCUGACGCAGUGACGCCGCGUAUAGGAAGAAGGUUUUCGGAUUGUAAACUAUUGUCGUUAGGGAAGAUACAAGACAGUACCUAAGGAGGAAGCACCGGCUAACUAUGUGUCAGCAGCCGCGGUAAUCUGAGCGGGCUGGCAAGGC
rnacentral:rRNA from 1 species